GCCGGGCAUGGUGGCUCAUGCCUGUAAUCCCAGCACUUUGGGAGGCAGAGAUGGGUGGAUCACCUGAGGUCAGGAGUUCCAGACCAGCCUGACCAACAUGGUGAAACCCUGUCUCUA
rnacentral:SRP_RNA from 1 species